AACGACCAUAAUGAGACAUUUUACUUACUAAAAAAUCAGCCCAAACCAAACGUCCUGACGAAUCAUCGGCCAUCGAUAUAGCUCAAAUCCGGAAGGUAAUGUUCCGUUUAGAUCAUAUUGGUGAAAAUGUUUGGUUUUCACUAAUAAUGUAACGUUUGUUUUCUGGGACACAAAACCUUUUAGUCUCACCUCAAACAC